UACAGAGGGUGCAAGCGUUGUUCGGAAUUAUUGGGCGUAAAGGGCGUGUAGGCGGUCUGCUAAGUCAUGUGUGAAAUCCCUCGGCUUAACCGAGGAACGACGCAUGAAACUGGCAAGCUAGAGUACCAAAGAGGGGGGUGGAAUUCCCGGUGUAGCGGUGAAAUGCGUAGAUAUUCGGAAGAACACCAGUGGCGAAGGCGACUCGCUGGACAAGUAUUGACGCUGAGGUGCGAAAGCGUGGGGAGCAAACAGG
rnacentral:rRNA from 1 species